UUGGGGCAAGAAACUGUUGCUGUAAGAACUCCAAAAGGAUGUAAUACUUCAAAAUUUGUGUGUAAUUCACAACUUUUCUACUUUGUUUUUCAGAUAUCAGUUACUGAAUGCUGUGAGAAUAGUUAGACUCAUUUCAGUCUGAUUUAUUUUAAAGCUUCUCAAGUUCCAGGAGUCUAAGUGGCAGCUGGAAUUUUCCUACAGUGAAAGAAGAGACCCUUCACCCCUCCAGUCUGAAAUCACAAGGGAUGAGGAGGGACACACCACACCAUAGGCUGAUGGUCAAAUGGAGGAACUUCAAUCACCAGGACUGCUUGUCUCUACUGGAGAGCAUCAGUCAAGGAGUUGACAACUGAGCUGCCCUGGGGAAGGAAGAAUUUUCCAUUUGAAAGAAUCUCUACUUUUCGGCCACCAAAUUGUCAUGGAGCUCAUUACCUCAGAUGAGAUGAGCAAUGGUGUGGAAUAACUAAAAUGACCUCCUUGAAGAAACUGGCCUGUUGGGGAUAACACAGGAGAACAUGUGGGCUGAAGUCUCCCUAUGGCAGAGAGGGCAAAAUUAAAUGAAGAUCUCCUGGAUCCUGAGGACAUCAACUCACCCAGCACUGAUGGGAACACCACACUGUGAUUCUUCACCCCCAGUCAAAAAAAGACUUGUUCUUUGCGCAGCUUUUGAAAGAGUCUGGCACCUUUACAUUCUGGACAGCGGAUGGAGAAGUUUUUCAAAAAUCCUCGUUUGCCCUCCGAGACUGACUGGCUUCCCCGCAGCCCUACCCCGCAGGCAGCCCAGCCUCUGCGGAAGGCACCUGCUGUCAUCUCCAAACAGACGAGGAAGGGAGACAUCUAAAGGCAUCCCCGGGAAGUUCACUCUUCUUCUGCCCACGCCGAUCCCAGAUUUCGACCGCCGGUUUGACAGAGGCAAGUAUCCCCGCUGUGCAAAAGCAGACCUAGCACAGAAGCAGAAUAUUUCUGAGAAGCAUUGCGCACAUUCCCUGCAGUCGUGCCAGAAAGGACAGGAGUGUCUAAGCUACAGCCUCAUACUACAGUAUGCUGCUAGCCUCCUAGCUGCAGUUCUUGAACAGUUCUUGAUCUGCACUUCCAUCCUUUCCCCUCACACCCCGAGGUCACUGCUGAAAGGGAAAGUGCAGAUGGAAGCUGAGAUGUAGAGGCACAUCUGACAGGGGACGUGUAGGAGCAUCAGUAACACAUGCAAUAAGCAUUCAAACUUUCAGGAGGCUGCACAGCAUUCACCACUAACAGCAAGCAGGAAGGUGAAAAACAUCUCCUCCACUACAGAGCUGUCAGUGGAAGUGGCUGCCUUCCCAUCAGGAGAGUGCAACACAGAGUAGACAGUGCAUCUUGUCCGUGAGCUGGAACUGAGGCACCCGCUUCCUUCCCCUCACCCUGUCUGAGAUCAAUGGUAGCUCCAAGGCCCAAAGUGCUCCUUUCUUUCUUUGCCAUCAUCGCCACCCAAAGUGCAGCAGGUCAGGGAGCUGCUGGAGAGUGAGGCUUUUUCUAAUUCUUGGGACUGGCAUUUUCAUGACGAAAAGAAAAAAAGUUACAUUUUCAAAUCAAUAUUAGGUGAACAGUUCAGAAUAAAAGCUUUUCCCUUAGAGAUGCAAAUCAUCUGGACUGCUCUAACAUUGUCAGGGCUCUAACGACCCUAAAGCACUGUCUUUGUGCCAUCUGUAAGGCAACAAUAGCUUGAACUGUGAAGGACAAUUUCAUUUCGAGUGACCUGGCUGGAAGCAAUAAGAAUUCAAAGACCAACUAGAAAGAAAUACUUGCUUAAACACUCACAGCUUUAUUUUCAUCUGCAUCACACAGAACAUUGACCAGUUCUGUAUAACCUUUCUACUCCCUAGAAAUUGCAGUGUUCCGCUGUAGAAAAUGCAAAGAGUAUAAGGUCAAUGUCAAGUCAUAAAACAGCUACAAGUGCAAUUUGAGCAUUUGCAGUUAUGGGAAAAACAAGAAAAAAAGGUACUUUAUGCUCCAGCUGGAAUUCUACUCCCUCUGUAAACAGUGUUAAUAAAAUACAGAUGCAAUUCGGGCCACUGGCAUUCAAAAGUCAUUAACAUGAGAAGCUGCUCAGUGGCCUGUAUGAAUCGCAUUUUGUUGGUCUUAGACCAGUGCCUGUUAGACAGACAUCUACAUUACAGCUAGUGCCAGGACCAAGUGCUGCAAUGCAUUUUCUCUCUGAAUUCCCCUUUUGGAAGUAAAGCUAAUCACUUUUAGACACUACAGAGUCCCUCCUCCCCAGCACUGCUGGUGUCCAUGCAUCCAUCUGCAAGGCUGCUGGGCCAGGAUUGAAAUACAAACAUGUACAGAGAGCAAUGGCUGACCUUAGUGCAGCAAGUAAUAACUGUCAAACUGUUCUACAUGGCGAGUGCUGAUGCCUCUGUACUUCGUGCCCGUACAGGAUCAGUUCUACAUGCUAAAUGCAGUCAAAGACAUCAGCAUGGCAAAAAAGAUGCAGCGUGCGUGCAAGGCAGCUCUCUGGGUGCCUGAUAGCCAACACAGACAUGACUGUGUUAUUGUGAGCAAAAACUGUGUACACAUUUCAUCUUUGCCACUGGAUUCUGGCCUUGCAAGAGGAACUUCCAUGUGUGCUUCAUUCCCCAUUUAGUGCUUUAUGAACUCUGAGUCACUGUCUGCUGUGGUGUCCAAAGCAAAGUACAAUGUGGCUUUGCAAGAAGCCUCUAAACAAUUGAAGGAAAAAUACCUGUAAACACAUCUCUUGUCUGCCAUGCAGCUUCUCCCUGACCUAACCUUCCACAGACUUUUCCCCACAGGAGGCUGCUCAGUCCCUCUGGUUUGUGCUCUCAAUAUAAAGCAGCCUUCACUUCCAGCUAGCAUGAGUGAUAUCCCACUGGGAGACACCAGUUUCCAUCCCAGUUUUUGCAGGAUCAUCCUCUCUGAGAAACACAGCCAUUCACUACCAGUUGAGCAGGCCCUCCACUCAGGCAGGCUUUCAAGCCUCGUUGAAUCCAUAUGCUCCAAAUGAUCCCACUGAUUUUUCUCCUGGUUUCUGCACGGGUAUGACUUGUGGCUGUCUGAUCCAUGUCACGGCUGCCAUAUGCUCUUGGGUACCAGCAGGAGCAAGACAGGAUGGAUUACGACCUUCAGAAGACUGCAGCUGCCACCAAAGUACAGUACCUGUAUAUAAGCCUUGUGUUUUCCUGUUAAGACUUGCUGUUCUUCUCUGACAUGCCCCUUUGCACUCAGAUUUGUCACGCAUCUUACAGGUUGGAAAUCAUAUCCUCAGCCAUCAAAUCCUCCAUUUCUGUCUUGAAUAAUAUGCUUUGUGGCAAAAAAAUUGGAUAUGAAAUGUGUAUUCAUUCACUGAGAUGCUUCAAAAAGAGUACAAGGAUUAGCAAAUGAAAGUAAAAUAGAUCUGAUUUAUGCAAUAAUACAGUACAAAGACUGCAGGAAUAAUGCCAACAGUCAUUUUAUAUGUGUUUAUGCACAUUAACUCUCUAAGUGAUGAUACUGACUCUAACGUCUAGGUUCUGUAAUACUUCAAAGAACUAUAGCUGCAAAUAGGCAAGCAUAAGUUCCAUUUUGGUAACAGCAAAUGCAUAUUUUUGCUCACACAACCUGCCUCCUCUGUCAGCUGUACCUGCACUUUUGUCUGCUCUUUGACUGAUAAAAUGCCACUGACGUCAUCUGUAGCAGAGCUUCCUGCUUGAUAUCUGUGAAAACAAGAAGAGGAUCAGGGCUACACUAAACAAACAAAUGUCAGUCAUCAAGGGCUAAGUGCUCAGAGGAAAGGUAAGUGAAAGGGGCUUUGUGUAGCUCUUCCACCAUCCUCAAAGGUGACAUAAGGUUGGAUUUAGCUGAAGAAGUCUGCAAGUUGCCUUCUUUUUACUUUGUGUGCUCUUGGAGGAAAUGCUUUGAAAAGGCUAAAACCACUGAUAUUUUGGUGCUAUGAGAAGUAGAAUGUUAGCUAGAAAAUAAUGGAAACUCUCCCCUAAGUGUAUGAUCCAUUAAGUUGUUUUGCAACACUGGGAAAUGAAGCAUGGAGUAUUUUACUGAAGUCAGUAUCCCACGGGGAUGAAAGAAAGAUCAGAAUCUCUCUCUGCAGUAGGCUGAGCUCUGCCAGCAAGCAUGUAGAUAUAAACCCAGAAUAUCUCCAGUUUAGUUGGAAGAAUUGCCCUGAGUUUGAGGACUAACCCAGGGUCUGUCCCACCAAUAUGGAUGUCUUCAGCC